rnacentral:rRNA from 1 species
AGUGAACGCUGGCGGUAGGCCUAACACAUGCAAGUCGAACGGCAGCACAGUAAGAGCUUGCUCUUACGGGUGGCGAGUGGCGGACGGGUGAGGAAUACAUCGGAAUCUACUUUUUCGUGGGGGAUAACGUAGGGAAACUUACGCUAAUACCGCAUACGACCUACGGGUGAAAGCAGGGGAUCUUCGGACCUUGCGCGAUUGAAUGAGCCGAUGUCGGAUUAGCUAGUUGGCGGGGUAAAGGCCCACCAAGGCGACGAUCCGUAGCUGGUCUGAGAGGAUGAUCAGCCACACUGGAACUGAGACACGGUCCAGACUCCUACGGGAGGCAGCAGUGGGGAAUAUUGGACAAUGGGCGCAAGCCUGAUCCAGCCAUACCGCGUGGGUGAAGAAGGCCUUCGGGUUGUAAAGCCCUUUUGUUGGGAAAGAAAAGCAGCAGGUUAAUACCCCGCCGUUCUGACGGUACCCAAAGAAUAGGCACCGGCUAACUUCGUG